CAUGCUAUUAAAAAUUAAAGGAACUUAAAGGCAAUUUAUUAUUAAAAAAUGAUUAUAGUUAAAAAUGCUUUAGUGUGCAAUAUGGAUUUAUUUGUUCGUGGCUCUUUAUUUAAAAAACAAACAAACAGAUGAACCAAUUCAAUAAUGUCACAUUAUCUUUAGAUAUUGGGGAGGGUCCAAAUAUAAUAAUAAUAAUAAUAAUAAUAAUAAUUGGGUAGAGUUUUGCUUUUUCAAAAAUGAAACAUAAGGGUGCAGCCCCCAUCCUCAGGCAAAUAAUUUGCAUACAGUACCUGACCACAUUUCAACAGAGUCACCAAUUACAUGAAUGGCAAAGUAUUACACUUUACAAACUGCAAUACAUAUUGUUUCAUGAAAAGGAAAGAUUUGUCAACAGAUACAACGCAGAAAAAAAAUCCUCUCUUCUGCAGCUGAACAAAGCUCUUGUUGUCUUAUGUUGCUUUUGUUUCAUUUUGAUGGGGUUAUCAAUUACAGACAAUAACCGGGGACCCAAUGGGUGGGGAGUGUGGGUGACAAGGGUAAAAGAGCUAUUUGGAUUUCUAGAGCCACACUCCAGGCUUUCAAUAACAGGAUUAAUGUAGCCCCCGGUGCUGCUGUUCCAGUUGGAAAAGGAUCAAUCGGAAAAAGGCAAAAGCGUAUUAAAAGGAUUAUAGAUUAGCAAUUAGAUGUCUUCUGACUGGGGGUUAGAAAGCGCUCUCACACAGUAUUUUGAGUCUUAAGGUGAGCUGUGUGACAGCUGGCACUGUGGUCCACUUCCUCACUCACACUAGAUCUUCUCUAGUUUGACACCCAGAGGUUGAUCUGAGUCCAUUGGCUGUGUGCCGCUCAGAGAUUAAGACUGAUCUUCUUUUUUUUCUGCAGAUAUGUCUUUGUUAUUAAACUUCCUCAGCGUCACAGAAAGAAAUAAACCGUAAUUUCUUUAUCUGCUUUGUUUUAUUAUUGAUAUUUAGUUAGUUGGAUUUUUAGGAAGAAAACAAUACUAUACUGAUAAACAGAAAGAUCCAAAAGCUGAACAGAGGAAACUUUUCAUCAAGAGUUCCUCAAAUAUACUAAAAUAUGCACUGAAGGAAUUGUUGUUCAAAUGGUUUUAUACAGUUUGACCAACCAGCAAUUAAUUACUGUUUGACUUAAAAUACAUAUUGCAUGAGCCGAAAUACACAGUUUUCCUUUGGUAAAUUAGGACAAAUGCAAAAAAAAGGCAGCUAAUCCUUAGUGAACAUCCCCAAGCUGUCACUACUGACCAUGCAAUGACUCUUAAACAUCUCCUAAACCUUGAGACUCUCUUUGCACUGUAAAAAAUGACUUACUGGACAGCCAUAAGCAUCGCCGCUGGUUGAGGUUGGGUGUGAUCAGAAGUGUGUUUUGCUGCACAAUCAUGUCACUAUAACAAAUGAAGACCUCUGCUUUUUAGCCAUGCUUGCAGCGGAGCUUUAGGGGUGGCAAUGCCGCUGUUUGUUACAUACUGUUAUAUACUGUGUACACUGUCAAGGUACACUGCAUAAAACAAUUUACAAUCUAGAAGUCUUAAAACCCUGCAAUGCUGUCUGAAUGUUACAUGACUUCAGGUUGUGAAAAUGGAAUGGAUUUCAUCAAAUCAUCAGGAUUUGUAUUUGAUUGUGCAUGGGUCACCACUGUAACUAUUGUUAACACCAUAACAUCACCAUAUUCUAGUGUUAAGUUGUUAGCAACAGUAUAUUUAUAAGUAAGACAAACAACGCUUUUUGCAUUGUGUUUUUAUCUGUAUGUUGUUGAUGUAUGUUUGAAUGAAAAACAAAUAUAUAACUUCCUCUCUUACUAUAUUUUUUCUUCUCUGCUACAUUAUUUGUAGUAGGGUAAUGUUACAUUUACAACACAAACAUAUGGUUACCAUUCAUUUAGCACUAGCUGUGGAUGAUCACUCAUGUUUGUAAAGCCAGAACUGAAUCACAUAUUUCCUGUUUCAUUUGGUGUUUUCCACUGUGUUCCUCAUUAAAAAAAAAAUAAAAAAAACAACCAAACAAGAAAUAUCCUUCCAGAAGUGACCUGUGAUAGGCUUCACAUGGCCUCAGCUGCAUCUGUGCCGUCAGUGUGACCUGUCUGUAUCAUUUGUUAUGUCCAAGGUGACUCUGCAGGGUCAACGCAGGCAGAUCUGGAUCCUGAAGAAUAAGGGAUAUGUCUACAGCUUCACAUCAAAGACAGUUCAUGAGACCACACAUCAUCUGUCAUAUUAUUAAAUAAGAUUGCAAAAUAAAAGUCGCCAAGGUCAAUACCGAGUUGAUCUUAAAAUGUCAAUGCAAUUUGACCGUAGCAAGAGAAAAAAAAAAUGAUUCUGCUCUGGUAAGACAUCUUUAUGUGAAUUCUGAUGGAAAAUCAUCAGAUACAAUAAAACAUGACAAAGAGCAAAUGUCCAUUUUUAAGAAUAGGCAUUAACUGGUUGACUGAGCACACAUUCAACACUUUUUUCAUUCAGUCCAAGUCCAAAAGCAGUUUUUACUACUUCCAUUUAUCUGCUUCUGAAAGACUCUUACAAGCUUCAAAAUGAAAGUAUUGCAAAGGACAACCAGGACGAUUUGAUGAAAAAUAAACAUAUGAUGUGAAUAGUUAGAUUAGUUAGAAUCAUUUUUUAAUGGAUUAUAAACCAUACAUGUACAAUUUAGGGUCAUCUAGAAAAUAAAUGCUCUUUUUAAAUGCUCUUGUUAAAUAUAAAUCAAUAUUAAAAUCUGUGAGGAUUUGGUGUAACUGACAGCAACUAUGGAUUUACAACAUCAUGACUGACACAGAAAAGGUUUGUUGCAGAAACAAACCAGAAGUAGAUUUUACUCAGAUUUUACUGGAGUCAAAUCAUAGGCCAUUCUUAAUCUGCAUUCUUGUCUGUACUGGAGUCACACUCAAGAACUGUCCCAAUUCAAAGUCAGCAUUCAGCCAAGUAUGGUCCAACCGUAACACUACAACCAAAAUUAGUUUUGAGAUUUUUUUCAACUACAAUUUAAAUUUGAGAUUAAAAAAUUCUCUCUUGACCUUGGGAAACGUAAUUGACAAAACAGCUUCAUAAAGUCCAUUUAGUAGCUUUCCUGGAGCUUUCAGUCAUGUCAUGUUCCAUUGUAUCAUGUUCUGUGACAACUAGCAAACCAUCAGCUACUAAAGAAGAUUGUGUGAUACAGGGCCACUAAAUGGACCUUGUGGUGAGAUUGUUUUGAUUGCUGUUUCCAAGGUCAAUAAUGAACUUCAAUUUAAACUGUUAUGCACUUGUGGAUGAUAAGUCCUUGUAGUGUUCAGAGGAGUGGCAAUUUGAAUAUGUACAGUUCCAAGAGAAAUUCAUUGGUGAAAUUUUGAAUAUGUAGUUGACCAUCAAAAACAAGUAGUAAAUAAAUACCUGAAAAUUUGCUUCGGCAUUUUCAGAGAUGGACCUGUUAGUUGGGCAAAAGUACUGUCAUCCCAGUCCAACCAUUACAUUGAUGGUUGAAAGUAAGUAACACAGUAAGUGAACCUCUGAGUUGAGAUAAUUUUGUAACACAACAGUCUUACAAUUGUGAUAACUAUUACCGGAGCCCAGCUAAGCUGAUGAUGUAGGCAAGAACGCUGUUGUCCUUGUUACAAGAUAACUGUGCAACAUCCUCCCAUUUGCAGGAGUUUGGACCACCGAGUUCAAGUUAGAAUGCCAUUUUGAACUUCCUCUGUAUGGAGAAAGGCCCUAUGCCAUACCAUGACUAAUAAAUAACACAACUAACUAUAUUUGUCUGCAGUACUAAAAGGGGAUCUCCACCAGUUUUACACAUCAGCAUGCGUUUCAAGGGGUUGAGGAAUACUGCUGCAUAUGUGGAAAAAAGUAGUGUAAAGUCUUUUGGAGCUGUGUUAAAUCUGAUAAAUUGCCUCGAGUGAUGUCACCUGAAUCAGUGUCAGUUGGGGCUGAAGGCUACAAGUUUGAAAAUGAAAAGACUGUAAAAGAAAUUAGGUUACCAGACCUCUGUAGCCCACCCCUCAUCUCUGCCGGAGGCUAGCAGCUCCAGGCUAAAUUAGCCACUACUACCACAAACCCAAAUCUGAACAGUUGAGUGAUCAUAGUUGAGUUGCAUUGUGGGUAAUGUAGGUGCCAAGUUUUGGCAAAGAAGAACGCAUGGAAUAAAAAAGACGAUUUCUCUGUUUCUGCUGGAUGGGUCCAUGAGUCUAACAAUGUUUCAGGUGUGCAAUGUUAAACCAGUGCAAUAUUUUUUAAGUCUUUACAAUUUCUUCCACCACUUCAGGAGAGCGGGACGCUAACUUGAUGGGUAUGUGAUGCUUUGAUCACCAAAGCAACAGGACAGGAGGCAUUACAGCUAAAUAUGAUAUCUCAUUUUCAGUGCUGCUCUGACCAGAUGGCCGACCAGUGCUUAUCCAGCUCCAGGGGAAACCCCUCAGCCAUAUAACAUUAAACACCACUCUGUCAUUUACCAGCUCUCCGCUUCAAAGUAAUGAAUCAAAGUACAUUUUAGUAAAGAUCGUGACAUCAUUAAGAUUUUCAUUGUACAGUUAUAGCAUAAUGAGUUGCACACUCACUUUACCUUCAACACCUGUAAUAUUGAAACACAAACCAAUCAACCCUAGUUUAUUGGUUCACUCUUUUCCACACUUUAUAAAAUGCUUCACCAAAAUGAAGCAUUCUAUAAAGCCAGGUACUUUUUGCCAGGUACUAUUUCCACAUUACUUUCAACCUUACAUAAUAAAACUGAAUCUAAACUGAAAA